CCCACUCACGCACACGGACCCGCGCUUCAUCACCGCACCAUGGACCAGCGCGCACACCAAACACGCACAACUCUCGCACAUGGGCAUGUGCACGCGUGGACAGCGUUUAGGGCAUCUCUCCAGCUCUAUUUAAAGAGCUCUUCAGUGGACGGACAAAUUCACAAUUCAAUUCCUCAAAUCGGCGAAUUCCGCAGGGAGGCAGAAUUCAAGAUUUCAAUUUCGGUUCCUUCUUCCUCUUUUAUUUUCCUUUUAUUAUUUUGUUUUCAAUUCAGUCAAUGAGUGACUGAUUUCUUUAAUUCUAGUUGAGAAUUGGUUAAAACUAAGGUUGUUUAAUGGAUUGUGAGAUCUGAACAUAAAUUAUUGUCUUUGGUUUUGUUCAAUAUUUAUGCAAUUGAUGCUUUAAUUACAUGAUUACUUUGUUGUUUUGAUCAAAUUUGCCACUUGAUUUUAAUUGCAAAGUUAAUUGAUUGUUAGUUGGGAUUAUUUUUAGUCCGUAAUUGCUGGAAAUAUUCUGACCUUAGAUUACUUGGUGUAAAAACCAAGGAAUUGCAUGAUCUAGCGUUAUCUCCAUACGUUUGGUUAGCUAGGACUGGAUCUCUCUAUUUCUUUAUGCAAUUGACAAUUGUUUUGAUGCCUAUGGCCCAAGGACGUUCCUUGGCAAUUUGUUAAUUAGUAAUUGAUUAGAGGACGUUCCCUAAUUAAUUUAAUCAUAAGGAGAGACAUGGUGGUGAGAAGCGUCUUCCACUCCCAUAACUAAUCUAUUGAACCAAUCAAGAUAAUUUAAGUUUCAAUGAUCAACCCAAACAACCAAAGUGGAUUCAUAUCUUCAACUAGACUUUUCUCAUAUUGAUUUACUCUUUUAUUUUAAUUAUUUGCCUUCUAUUAUUACUCUCAUUAUUAGUUACUACAAUCAAUCUCAAACCCCCCAUUUUACUUUUAUUGCAAUUUAUUUUUAUUCUGUUUCCAGUUUAUCUCAUUUGAUCACACUUUCAGUCUUUUAUCUCAUCUUUAAUUUAUUAUUGUUUCAGUUUAUUUUAUUGGUCCUGUUGAGAAAAACAAAUAGGUAAUCAAUUCUCUGUGGAUUCGAUCCUUUCACCACUAUCUGCAGUUGUAAAAUUGUUGAUAACCAGAAAGGUUAUUUUUGACCGGCUUCGACAACCGCGAGUCAACUAUUAUUUAACACUGCUCUCUAAUAUAAUUACAUAAAUUUAAUAAAAUUAUAUUAAAUAUUUCACAAUCUUAACAUAUAUUUUAUUUACAGAACAGAAAUACUUUAUAUAUUUGUUUAAUAAAAAUUUCCAAAUACCAAAUGCUAAG
rnacentral:lncRNA from 1 species